rnacentral:misc_RNA from 1 species
AACGCACAUUGCGCUCCCUGGUAUUCCGGAGAGCAUGCCUGUUUGAGUAUCAAUACCAUCUCUCAUACGAAAUCCUCUUUUGGACUCGUAUGGAUAUGAGCCAUCCCAGAGACUUUAUUGACUUGUGGGUGACUUUAAAUGUAUUGUUUGGCUCGAUUUCAAGAAUGAAAGCCCAAGAAAAGCGCGACAAGAACCGAAGGAGCCCUGGCUCCUCAUGGUUUCUGUCCGCUCGCCUUGACGCCUUUUUGUCUUUCUCGAUUUCAUAUGCCUUCUCAAAAAUCAACACACUCUAGUCUCACGACUUUUGUGAUCUUGAUCUCAAAUCAGGCAAGACUACCCGCUGAACUUAA